rnacentral:rRNA from 1 species
GAUGAACGCUGGCGGCGUGCCUAAUACAUGCAAGUCGAGCGAACGGACGAGAAGCUUGCUUCUCUGAUGUUAGCGGCGGACGGGUGAGUAACACGUGGAUAACCUACCUAUAAGACUGGGAUAACUUCGGGAAACCGUAGCUAAUACCGGAUAAUAUUUUGAACCGCAUGGUUCAAAAGUGAAAGACGGUCUUGCUUUCACUUAUAGAUGGAUCCGCGCUGCAUUAGCUAGUUUGUAAGGUAACGGCUUACCAAGGCAACGAUGCAUAGCCGACCUGAGAGGGUGAUCGGCCACACUGGAACUGAGACACGGUCCAGACUCCUACGGGAGGCAGCAGUAGGGAAUCUUCCGCAAUGGGCGAAAGCCUGACGGAGCAACGCCGCGUGAGUGAUGAAGGUCUUCGGAUCGUAAAACUCUGUUAUUAGGGAAGAACAUAUGUGUAAGUAACUGUGCACAUCUUGACGGUACCUAAUCAGAAAGCCACGGCUAACUACGUG